rnacentral:rRNA from 1 species
GUCCUGGCUGUAAACGAUGGGCACUAGGUGUGGGGGGAUCGACCCCUUCCGUGCCGCAGUUAACGCAUUAAGUGCCCCGCCUGGGGAGUACGACCGCAAGGUUGAAACUCAAAGGAAUUGACGGGGGCCCGCACAAGCGGUGGAGCAUGUGGUUUAAUUCGAUGAUACGCGAAGAACCUUACCGGGGCUUGACAUGCAGCAGAACAUUUGUGGAAACACGGAUGGUCCCUCACGGGACUGUUGCACAGGUGCUGCAUGGCUGUCGU